rnacentral:rRNA from 1 species
GAUGAACGCUGGCGGCGUGCCUAAUACAUGCAAGUCGAGCGAACGGACGAGAAGCUUGCUUCUCUGAUGUUAGCGGCGGACGGGUGAGUAACACGUGGAUAACCUACCUAUAAGACUGGGAUAACUUCGGGAAACCGGAGCUAAUACCGGAUAAUAUUUUGAACCGCAUGGUUCAAAAGUGAAAGACGGUCUUGCUGUCACUUAUAGAUGGAUCCGCGCUGCAUUAGCUAGUUGGUAAGGUAACGGCUUACCAAGGCAACGAUGCAUAGCCGACCUGAGAGGGUGAUCGGCCACACUGGAACUGAGACACGGUCCAGACUCCUACGGGAGGCAGCAGUAGGGAAUCUUCCGCAAUGGGCGAAAGCCUGACGGAUCAACGCCGCGUGAGUGAUGAAGGUCUUCGGAUCGUAAGACUCUGUUAUUAGGGAAGAACAUAUGUGUAAGUAACUGUGCACAUCUUGACGGUACCUAAUCAGAAAGCCACGGCUAACUACGUGCCAGCAGCCGCGGUAAUACGUAGGUGGCAAGCGUUAUCCGGAAUUAUUGGGCGUAAAGCGCGCGUAGGCGGUUUUUUAAAGUCUGAUGUGAAAGCCCACGGCUCAAUCGUGGAGGGUCAUUGGAAACUGGAAAACUUGAGUGCAGAAGAGGAAAGUGGAAUUCCAUGUGUAGCGGUGAAAUGCGCAGAGAUAUGGAGGAACACCAGUGGCGAAGGCGACUUUCUGGUCUGUAACUGACGCUGAUGUGCGAAAGCGUGGGGAUCAAACAGGAUUAGAUACCCUGGUAGUCCACGCCGUAAACGAUGAGUGCUAAGUGUUAGGGGGUUUCCGCCCCUUAGUGCUGCAGCUAACGCAUUAAGCACUCCGCCUGGGGAGUACGACCGCAAGGUUGAAACUCAAAGGAAUUGACGGGGACCCGCACAAGCGGUGGAGCAUGUGGUUUAAUUCGAAGCAACGCGAAGAACCUUACCAAAUCUUGACAUCCUUUGACAACUCUAGAGAUAGAGCCUUCCCCUUCGGGGGACAAAGUGACAGGUGGUGCAUGGUUGUCGUCAGCUCGUGUCGUGAGAUGUUGGGUUAAGUCCCGCAACGAGCGCAACCCUUAAGCUUAGUUGCCAUCAUUAAGUUGGGCACUCUAAGUUGACUGCCGGUGACAAACCGGAGGAAGGUGGGGAUGACGUCAAAUCAUCAUGCCCCUUAUGAUUUGGGCUACACACGUGCUACAAUGGACAAUACAAAGGGUAGCGAAACCGCGAGGUCAAGCAAAUCCCAUAAAGUUGUUCUCAGUUCGGAUUGUAGUCUGNCACUCGACUAUAUGAAGCUGGAAUCGCUGGUAAUCGUAGAUCAGCAUGCUACGGUGAAUACGUUCCCGGGUCU